rnacentral:rRNA from 1 species
GAUGAACGCUAGCUACAGGCUUAACACAUGCAAGUCGAGGGGAAACGACAUCGAAAGCUUGCUUUUGAUGGGCGUCGACCGGCGCACGGGUGAGUAACGCGUAUCCAACCUGCCCACCACUUGGGGAUAACCUUGCGAAAGUAAGACUAAUACCCAAUGAUAUCUCUAGAAGACAUCUGAAAGAGAUUAAAGAUUUAUCGGUGAUGGAUGGGGAUGCGUCUGAUUAGCUUGUUGGCGGGGUAACGGCCCACCAAGGCAACGAUCAGUAGGGGUUCUGAGAGGAAGGUCCCCCACAUUGGAACUGAGACACGGUCCAAACUCCUACGGGAGGCAGCAGUGAGGAAUAUUGGUCAAUGGACGAGAGUCUGAACCAGCCAAGUAGCGUGCAGGAAGACGGCCCUAUGGGUUGUAAACUGCUUUUAUAAGGGAAUAAAGUGAGUCUCGGGAGACUUUUUGCAUGUACCUUAUGAAUAAGGACCGGCUAAUUCCGUG